rnacentral:rRNA from 1 species
GAUGAACGCUGGCGGCGUGCCUAAUACAUGCAAGUCGAGCGAACGGACGAGAAGCUUGCUUCUCUGAUGUUAGCGGCGGACGGGUGAGUAACACGUGGAUAACCUACCUAUAAGACUGGGAUAACUUCGGGAAACCGGAGCUAAUACCGGAUAAUAUUUUGAACCGCAUGGUUCAAAAGUGAAAGACGGUCUUGCUGUCACUUAUAGAUGGAUCCGCGCUGCAUUAGCUAGUUGGUAAGGUAACGGCUUACCAAGGCAACGAUGCAUAGCCGACCUGAGAGGGUGAUCGGCCACACUGGAACUGAGACACGGACAAGACUCCUACGGGAGGCAGCAGUAGGGAAUCUUCCGCAAUGGGCGAAAGCCUGACGGAGCAAAGCCGCGUGAGUGAUGAAGGUCUUCGGAUCGUAAAACUCUGUUAUUAGGGAAGAACAUAUGUGUAAGUAACUGUGCACAUCUUGACGGUACCUAAUCAGAAAGCCACGGCUAACUACGUG